rnacentral:rRNA from 1 species
GACGAACGCUGGCGGCGUGCUUAACACAUGCAAGUCGAACGAUGAACCGGGUGCUUGCACUUGGGGAUUAGUGGCGAACGGGUGAGUAACACGUGAGUAACCUGCCCUGGACUCUGGGAUAACCCCGAGAAAUCGGAGCUAAUACCGGAUAGGACCUUUCCUCGCAUGAGGUUUGGUGGAAAGUUUUUCGGUCUGGGAUGGACUCGCGGCCUAUCAGCUUGUUGGUGAGGUAAUGGCUCACCAAGGCGUCGACGGGUAGCCGGCCUGAGAGGGUGACCGGCCACACGGGGACUGAGGAUCGGCCGAGACUCCUACGGGGGGCAGCGUUGGGGAAUAUUGCACAAUGGGCGCAAGCCUGAUGCAGCAACGCCGCGUGCGGGAUGACGGCCUUCGGGUUGUAAAACGCUUUUAGUAGGGAAGAAGGGCUUCGGCUUGACGGUACCUGCAGAAAAAGGACCGGCUAACUACGUGCCAGCCGCCGCAGUAACAC